GGACCAGCAGGCUUCUGCAGAGCUGAAAAGCCAGACCUGCAGAGAUUAAUUAAAAUAAGAGCAAUGAAGUUGGAGCUCAGAGCUGCAGUGAUGGAUGCUAGUGAAACACUUGCCCAGAGACCAACAUGCUCCGUGGUGUUUUUCUCCAGCUGAAGAACUGUGCAAUAGUUACACACGUGGUGUAAAGGAACCUGCUGCUGCCAUUUGGGUGCAGGUGCCCUGUGAGGAUGCUCUGUCCCCGUUGGGAUUUGCACCUCCAAGCUGCCAGCGUUGAUAACCUUUUUCCUGCUGCCCAACAUGCUUAUCUGCUGCAGACAGACUGGCAAGAUGAACAGGAAAGCUGAUACCUUAUCUCUCCCUCUCAAGGAGCUUAUUUAAGUGCUGGAAUGCGUCGCAAUGGUAAAUGAUUGUUACAAUCCAAGUGAGGUAUAUGGACCUACCAACAGGCCCUGCUGGGAAGCAGCACCCAUUUAGGAAGGAGACCCACAAGACUACAAGAUUUCAAGGCUAUUCCAUCUUUUAUCUACCUAAAGACAUCUCCUAAAAUGCAAAACAUUUGCUUAAAACCAAAGGCAUGUGCUCCACUCCAGCCUGCGGUUUAACACUGUUGGCUGCUCCCGGCAGCAUGUGGUUCCUGUGUCUCUCUGAUAUGGCCUAUCUCUGUUUGUCUGCUCAGCACUGAGCGAGGGGCACGGCGAGGGUUAUUGCCAUAUCUGCAUAGCACCACACUGUUCCUGCUUUCCCUUCCAUCCAGGCUCAGCGCAGGAAACGGUAAGAUGCUAACACGUCCAUAAAGGUAGAUAGACUGGAGAACUAUUGGGCUAAUUGGAAUGAGCUGGGCUUAGCUGCUCAGACAGCCCAACACAAAGGAAUGAGACCGCUCCAGGGAUGCAGAACACAGCAGAGCCUCAGCACUUCACUUCUUUCAGCCACUGCAACUGGCAGCAAUAGCAAUUGCAGGCACCGGGGGCUGAGCACUGUGACAGCAGAGGGGACAGGGAAAGCCCGUGCUGUCAGUGUGAUGUCCCCAACAGCUGCUGCGGAGGGGUGUGAUGGGGUAUUUUGGUCCUGUCCUCGGUGGAAAAAGAGACGGUGAUGCUGGGUGCCAGGAGCACUGCUGGGACAGGGUUCGGGGCUCAGGUUGCUCCUGCUGCUCCAGGCACACAGCAGCCUCUGGAGAAAUCGCACCUUGGCAAUGCACACAGCUGCCAUGGGCUGCUGCAUCGGAAAGUUAAUCAGUUCCACAUCACUGACCGCUUUUCCAUUGCAAAGCAGAAGGAAUUGCCAUACAAGAGCAGAGCUCAGCUUGCCCACAUUGCAGGGCUGAGGGCUUCAGCAGAAGCACAGGUGACAUUGUGGUAGCCAGGAUGAGACAAGGCACUUUCUGGGACAUCUGACCUCCAAUCUGCAGCUUUCAUCCCCCACAAAACUCUUACAAUUAGACAGAGCAAUGUGCACGUCUGCAAGAUC